rnacentral:rRNA from 2 species
CAGUCGACGGAAGGCCCUUCGGGGUACUCGAGUGGCGAACGGGUGAGUAACACGUGGGUGAUCUGCCCUGCACUUUGGGAUAAGCCUGGGAAACUGGGUCUAAUACCGAAUAUGACCACGCUCUUCAUGGGGUGUGGUGGAAAGCUUUUGCGGUGUGGGAUGGGCCCGCGGCCUAUCAGCUUGUUGGUGGGGUAAUGGCCUACCAAGGCGACGACGGGUAGCCGGCCUGAGAGGGUGACCGGCCACACUGGGACUGAGAUACGGCCCAGACUCCUACGGGAGGCAGCAGUGGGGAAUAUUGCACAAUGGGCGCAAGCCUGAUGCAGCGACGCCGCGUGAGGGAUGACGGCCUUCGGGUUGUAAACCUCUUUCACCAGGGACGAAGCGCAAGUGACGGUACCUGGAGAAGAAGCACCGGCCAACUACGUGCCAGCAGCCGCGGUAAUACGUAGGGUGCGAGCGUUGUCCGGAAUUACUGGGCGUAAAGAGCUCGUAGGUGGUUUGUCGCGUUGUUCGUGAAAACUCACAGCUUAACUGUGGGCGUGCGGGCGAUACGGGCAGACUAGAGUACUGCAGGGGAGACUGGAAUUCCUGGUGUAGCGGUGGAAUGCGCAGAUAUCAGGAGGAACACCGGUGGCGAAGGCGGGUCUCUGGGCAGUAACUGACGCUGAGGAGCGAAAGCGUGGGGAGCGAACAGGAUUAGAUACCCUGGUAGUCCACGCCGUAAACGGUGGGUACUAGGUGUGGGUUCCUUCCUUGGGAUCCGUGCCGUAGCUAAC